rnacentral:lncRNA from 1 species
UCUUGGGGGCUGAUUUUUGGGCGCGGCUGUGCCCGUGGCCUAUUUUUGGCAAACGGAGGCCGCCCGCCAAGUAUGGUGCCAUUCCGAGUCCCGCGGACGAACUUCGCCCACGCCCCCCACCAAGGCUAUAGCCCACCCUUUUUUUGGCCAUUUUUCCGCUGGGGGGUCCUGGGACCCCGACCUUCGGGGGCUGAUUUUUGGGCGCGGCUGUGCCCGUGGCCUAUUUUUGGCACACGGAGGCCGCCCGCCAAGUCUGGGUCCAUUCCGUGUCCCGCGGACUAACUUCGCCCACGCCCCCCACCAAGGCUAUAGCCCACCCUUUUUUUGGCCAUUUUUCCGCUGGGGGGUCCUGGGACCCCGACCUUCGGGGGCUGAUUUUUGGGCGCGGCUGUGCCCGUGGCCUAUUUUUGGCACACGGAGGCCGCCCGCCAAGUAUGGUGCCAUUCCGUGUCCCGCGGACGAACUUCGCCCACGCCCCCCACCAAGGCUAUAGCCCACCCGUUUUUGGCCAUUUUUCCGCUGGGGGGUCCUGGGACCCCGACCUUCGGGGGCUGAUUUUUGGGCGCGGCUGUGCCCGUGGCCUAUUUUUGGCACACGGAGGACACCCGCCAAGUAUGGUGCCAUUCCGAGUCCCGCGGACGAACUUCGCCCACGCCCCCCACCAAGGCUAUAGCCCACCCGUUUUUUGGCCAUUUUUCCGCUGGGGGGUCUUGGGACCCCGACCUUCGGGGGCUGAUUUUUGGGCUCGGCUGUGCCCGUGGCCUAUUUUUGGCACACGGAGGCCGCCCGCCAAGUAUGGUGCCAUUCCGAGUCCCCCGGACGAACUUCGCCCACGCCCCCCACCAAGGCUAUAGCCCACCCGUUUUUUGGCCAUUUUUGCGCUGGGGGGUCUUGGGUCCCCGACCAUCGGGGGCUGAUUUUUGGGUGUGGCUGUGCCCGUGGGCUAUUUUUGGCACACAGAGGCCGCCCGCCAAUUAUGGUGCCAUUCCGAGUCGCGCGGACGAACUUCGCCCACGCCCCCCACCAAGGCUAUAGCCCACCCGUUUUUUGGCCAUUUUUCCGCUGGGGGGUCUUGGGACCCCAACCUUCGGGGGCUGAUUUUUGGGAGCGGCUGUGCCCGUGGCCUAUUUUUGGCACACGGAUGCCCCCCGCCAAGUCUGGUGCGAUUCCGAGUCUCGCGGACGAACUUCGCCCACGCCGCCCACCAAGGCUAUAGACCACCCGUUUUUUGGCCAUUUUUCCGCUGGGGGGUCUUGGGACCCCGACCUUCGGGGGCUGAUUUUUGGGAGCGGCUGUGCCCGUGGCCUAUUUUUGGCACACGGAUGCCCCCCGCCAAGUCUGGU